AAAUUGCAGAGGUGUGCAGCUUUUCACUUGCAGAUGGUUGCCUUUGUCUUCUCCAAAAGCUUUGGUUUUUCUAUGCCAUGGUUAUGGCAUGGAGUGUAGUAAUUUCAUGAAAGAGAAAGGAAGCAAAUAUCACUUGCAAAAAGCUCUAGCUAACAGUUUCAUGUAUCAAAAGCUGGCUUAAGAGAUGAACAGAUGAGUUUGAUCAAAGAUUUGGAAAGGAAAGAGACGGAGUACAAGGACGGAGUUCAAGAGACUGAGAAAGAACAAGAUGUGUAGAUGAUAAAUUUGCCAACAACAUUUCCACUAGACAUGAGACUAAGAAGGAACAUGAAUUAUUAUUUGUUACUAUUAACUAAAGUUUUAGAAUUUGUAUUGAUGCUCAAUAUUAUUACACUUUGGUCUUAUGAGUAAUUAAAGAGUAUUGGUGUAUCUAUUGUUA